UGCUGCUGAAGGAGGGUAGGGAGGAAAGAAACCAAUUGACGUCUUGUUUUUAUUUUGUCAAAGAAGAAGAAGACCAAAUGGAAAACAUGGGGCCUUUGAUAUCAAGUUACCGUACUAAACUGAAACAGACAUCGAUGUUAUGGAUUUUAGGUUUCCGAGAAGCUUGCUGUCUUCACAGAGUAGUCAUCUACUGUCUCAGGUCAAAGCAACUGAUGAUCCGAACUGGCCAGUGCUUUCUCUUAAAUGGCUUCAUCUUUUUAGGAAGUAUUUUUAUUCUAAGAUCUGUAGUCAUUCCAGCGCUGCACUGGAUAUUACCAUCUACAACUGUGGAAGGUUAUGAAGAGACAUGUUCAUCGGAGAUGCCUAUAAGACUGUAUGCCCUCUUACGACUCGGACUUUUACAACUUAUUUAUGCUCUAUGGUUCUACCCUUUAUACAUCUUCAGCUUCAUUUUAAGCACUAUCUGGUACAAUGAUAUUGCUCAGUUUGGUCUUAUGGUGACCGGGAAAAAUGGACCAAAGAAUUCAACUCUAUCUAGCCAAAAGGAGCCAUCAACUUCUCAAAAGGCAACAAAUGUUGACAAACCAACUGACCUCGGCCGGGUUAUGAUAGGAAUAGCGGAACAGGGCUAUUCAGUCCUCUUGUUGAGCUUUUUCUUCCUGGAGGUCUACCUCACAGGUUUUGUACCAUAUGUUGGGAAGUUACUCAAUUUUGUACUUCUUUCGUGGAUGUAUGCCUAUUAUUGCUUUGAGUAUAAAUGGAACUUCUCUGGCCUGAGUCUGGAUAAAAGGCUUGACUUUUUCGAGACUAACUGGGCAUUCUUUGCUGGUUUUGGAUCUCCUUGUGUUUUGGCUAUAUUCUUCUUUUCUCCUUUGGUGAGUUACGGGGUAAUGGCUGUACUCUUUCCACUGUUUGUUUUGACUGCAGCAGGCUCAGAUGCUGAGAGUGUCGUUAACUCUCAAAAAGAAAAUUGGGGAGGUGAAGAAUUAGGAAAACUUCCUAUAUUUUUUGUUGCAGAUAAGCUACUGAUGCGAAUCUUGUCUCUUCUCCCUAUGGAAUCUCAUGCUCAAACAUCUGAGAAGAAAUCACUCUGAGACUAACCACUGAUUCCAAAGACUUCAGAAUUCUGAGUGUGCCACCGUCUCUACAAAGGUCUUCUCAACUGGUGGCCUCGAGGCUUAAUGUGUAGAGUUUUUUCCGGAAGAAGGCCCUUCUUUGGUAGUUGAUGAAACGCCAGCAUUUGUGUUCGUCUCUUCUUCAUGUUUUCGGCAUCCUCGUAAGCUUGAUGCAGUUUCCUUUUCACAGCUUCGAGUUUUUCUUCAGUCGUCUUUUCAAUCCUUUUCGGCAUCCUUGCUGCUGCAUCUAUUAUUUGUUUACUUUGUUGAUGAUGAGGAAUCACUAAACUCUCUGUACUCUUUAUACUAUGUGAAGCGAUCCCCGAUUGAGUUUUUGCAACCAUAUUCACUACUGGUUUCAAAACUGCAGGCAACACUACUUUCUUGACCACUACAUCCACGGUUUGAUUGUUGGCUCGUUGUGUGAUGGUUCGGUUUUGUUUUUCCAUGGGUUGCUCUAAUCUCUUUAUUUUGUCUUGAAUCAACAAUUCCUUUGAAUACAUAUCCUUACUGAUCUUCUCUUGAUCGAUGAUCACUUGACCCUUUGCAGCCUUGUUUUCUUCAUCUGAUAAAGUCUGGUGCACAACACAACUUGCAUCAUUAUUAUUCUUGAGCCAUUCUUCCACCAUAUCUUUCCAUUCUUUCAAGAGUCUACUCGCGACCUGACCAACUUCUUUGGAUGCAUGUUUCCGAAGAACGCUAACUGUCUUUCCUAUCCCAGUCACCUCCAGAGUGUUCACACUUAACCCCAUGUAUCGAAGCUUGGUUAACAAGUCACAGAUGAUUGCCACCGAUUCAGAUUCGCCUUCAAGAACCUCUUUGAUCCUGAAAACCUCAGCAACCCCUUGACGAUAAACAAUACGAAUAGUCGGUCUUUUAGCCUUUGGCAGAUCACAAGCCGUCUUUGAAGCCUUUGGGAUACUUUGUUUUUGCGAAUCAUCUUCUUGGGUGUUUUUGUUACACGAAUAGAGAGUUUCGAUUAUUUUGUCUUUGUUAUUGCGAAAUUCGUCUGGGUAGUCAGUAGCAGCCACCGUGAUGGCUUUCUUGAUAAACUCAAAUAUAUCGACAUUAUUCGCAUUCCCUAAGUAUUCUUCCAUCUUCGAAACAA